CGGCGAGUGAAGCGGCAAAAGCUCAAAUUUGAAAUCUGGCUCCUUUAGGGGUCCGAGUUGUAAUUUGCAGAGGAUGCUUCGGGAGCGGCCACGGCUUAAGUGCCUUGGAACAGGACGUCAUAGAGGGUGAGAAUCCCGUCUUGAGUCGUUGGUCCGCGCCCAUGUGAAGCUCCUUCGACGAGUCGAGUUGUUUGGGAAUGCAGCUCUAAGCGGGUGGUAAAUUUCAUCUAAAGCUAAAUAUUGGCCGGAGACCGAUAGCGCACAAGUAGAGUGAUCGAAAGGUUAAAAGCACCUUGAAAAGGGAGUUAAACAGCACGUGAAAUUGUUGAAAGGGAAGCGCUUGCGGCCAGACUCGGGUACAGGGUUCAGCGGGUGCGUGUCACCCGUGUACUCCCUGUUUCCCGGGCCAGCAUCAGUUCUGACGGCCGGUCAAAGGCCUCUGGAAUGUGUCGUCUUUCGGGACGUCUUAUAGCCAGAGGUGCAAUGCGGCCUGUUGGGACUGAGGAACGCGCUUCGGCUCGGA
rnacentral:rRNA from 1 species